rnacentral:rRNA from 1 species
AACGAACGCUGGCGGCAUGCCUAAUACAUGCAAGUCGAACGAGAUCUUCGGAUCUAGUGGCGCACGGGUGCGUAACGCGUGGGAAUCUGCCCUUGGGUUCGGAAUAACUUCUGGAAACGGAAGCUAAUACCGGAUGAUGACGUAAGUCCAAAGAUUUAUCGCCCAAGGACGAGCCCGCGUAGGAUUAGCUAGUUGGUGGGGUAAAGGCCCACCAAGGCGACGAUCCUUAGCUGGUCUGAGAGGAUGAUCAGCCACACUGGGACUGAGACACGGCCCAGACUCCUACGGGAGGCAGCAGUAGGGAAUAUUGGACAAUGGGGGAAACCCUGAUCCAGCAAUGCCGCGUGAGUGAUGAAGGCCUUAGGGUUGUAAAGCUCUUUUACCCGGGAUGAUAAUGACAGUACCGGGAGAAUAAGCUCCGGCUAACUCCGUG